rnacentral:rRNA from 1 species
GACGAACGCUGGCGGCGUGCUUAACACAUGCAAGUCGAACGGAAAGGCCCUGCUUUUGUGGGGUGCUCGAGUGGCGAACGGGUGAGUAACACGUGAGUAACCUGCCCUUGACUUUGGGAUAACUUCAGGAAACUGGGGCUAAUACCGGAUAGGAGCUCCUGCUGCAUGGUGGGGGUUGGAAAGUUUCGGCGGUUGGGGAUGGACUUGCGGCUUAUCAGCUUGUUGGUGGGGUAGUGGCUUACCAAGGCUUUGACGGGUAGCCGGCCUGAGAGGGUGACCGGCCACAUUGGGACUGAGAUACGGCCCAGACUCCUACGGGAGGCAGCAGUGGGGAAUAUUGCACAAUGGGCGGAAGCCUGAUGCAGCAACGCCGCGUGCGGGAUGACGGCCUUCGGGUUGUAAACCGCUUUCGCCUGUGACGAAGCGUGAGUGACGGUAAUGGGUAAAGAAGCACCGGCUAACUACGUGCCAGCAGCCGCGGUGAUACGUAGGGUGCGAGCGUUGUCCGGAUUUAUUGGGCGUAAAGGGCUCGUAGGUGGUUGAUCGCGUCGGAAGUGUAAUCUUGGGGCUUAACCCUGAGCGUGCUUUCGAUACGGGUUGACUUGAGGAAGGUAGGGGAGAAUGGAAUUCCUGGUGGAGCGGUGGAAUGCGCAGAUAUCAGGAGGAACACCAGUGGCGAAGGCGGUUCUCUGGGCCUUUCCUGACGCUGAGGAGCGAAAGCGUGGGGAGCGAACAGGCUUAGAUACCCUGGUAGUCCACGCUGUAAACGGUGGGUACUAGGUGUGGGGUCCAUUCCACGGGUUCCGUGCCGUAGCUAACGCUUUAAGUACCCCGCCUGGGGAGUACGGCCGCAAGGCUAAAACUCAAAGGAAUUGACGGGGCCCCGCACAAGCGGCGGAGCAUGCGGAUUAAUUCGAUGCAACGCGUAGAACCUUACCUGGGUUUGACAUGGAUCGGGAGUGCUCAGAGAUGGGUGUGCCUCUUUUGGGGUCGGUUCACAGGUGGUGCAUGGCUGUCGUCAGCUCGUGUCGUGAGAUGUUGGGUUAAGUCCCGCAACGAGCGCAACCCUUGUUCACUGUUGCCAGCACGUUAUGGUGGGGACUCAGUGGAGACCGCCGGGGUCAACUCGGAGGAAGGUGGGGAUGACGUCAAGUCAUCAUGCCCCUUAUGUCCAGGGCUUCACGCAUGCUACAAUGGCUGGUACAGAGAGUGGCGAGCCUGUGAGGGUGAGCGAAUCUCGGAAAGCCGGUCUCAGUUCGGAUUGGGGUCUGCAACUCGACCUCAUGAAGUCGGAGUCGCUAGUAAUCGCAGAUCAGCAACGCUGCGGUGAAUACGUUCCCGGGGCU